rnacentral:lncRNA from 1 species
CAAUAACAAACAUAAUAUUUCUUAAAUACUCAAAUUGUAUUACUCAAAUUGUAUUAUAAUAUUUUUUAAAUAAAAAUAAAAUAUAUCAAAAAUCAGAUAAAUCAAAAUCUUCCUCUCCAAGCAUUUCAUCAUCACCGAGAAGGACUGAAGUAGGAUCGAGAGGGGCUGUAGCAGGAGUGGAAGGGGCUGUAGUAGGAGCUGGAGGGGCUGGAGAUGAAAUGCUAGCCAACAUAUUUUGAAUGCUCAAA